rnacentral:lncRNA from 1 species
ACGGAUGGAGUAUUAAACUUUCACAUCAUCUAUAUGUUUUAGGGAAUUUAGCAGGAGUACGUGUUUUUAGGAUUUGUUUUGAACAAAUACGGUAUCCCAAAUAUCUUGCAUAUAUACUAUUUGUGUUAUAUCAUGUUCUGCUUUUACUUUCUUUAUCUUUUUUUUCUUUUCUUUUCUCCUCUCUCUCUUCUCCUCUCUCGUUCUUCUCGCUCUCUUCUCUCUCUCUCUUUCUUCUCUUUCCAAGAAAGGCGCCCAUGAACCUCUCCGGCAGCUUUACGGGGAAAUCAGGCGACCCAGAUCCAUGAAGAGAUAGUUGUAGAUCUGUUGAUAUGUGAAACCCAGUGAUAAGAUUCUUGAUGUUGGGUGUGGUAGGGCUAUUGCGGCGUAUUCAGAAUUGCCAAACGGAAUGUGGAUGUCCCGUGUCCGUGAUGUUGUUUGUCGGUUCCUAUUAUUGGUUUUUAAGUUAAUUUCAUGUUUGCUUCCAGUUGAUUUUAUGGUUGCUUUUGUGAUAUUAGUAUUGGCCCCGCAGGGGUACCCCACUUUUUUCAUUUGCAACCACUUGUAACUUAUUAUGC